GAAAGUGAAGAAGGUGGAGAACAAGGUGUGAGCAAGUGUAAGGAGAGCUAAUCUUGUCGCAAGUGGGGGAUCGGGUGACACCUUUGUUGCCUAUGUAAAGGCUGUGGCUCAGAAGGGAGCAGAAGAGCUUCCUAACAUGGAAUGGAUUCCGGUCUGCUCACGCAAGGGGAGCUUUACUUUUGGUGAAGUUAGGUCCAUGGAAUUCAAUCGUCAGGAUAUUACAACAAUGCGUCUAGCGACAGGAACAACAACUGGCUUUAUUUCAUAUCUGGGAGCUCAAAAAGACGGGAUGUAUAUCCAGCGAGACGCUUUGAAUUCUCUUACUACAAUAGAAAUCUUGACAUUGCUGCAUAUGUUCCAACUGCAUAUGCUGUGGA